rnacentral:misc_RNA from 1 species
AGACUAGACGGAUUUUUGGCGUUGCUACGUCUGGAAAUAAAAUAAUCGAUCAGUGCGGAAAUGAUCGGAAUUCAGUGUUGCCAGUUUAGUGAUCGCUGUUAAUGAAAUAAGGUUGAGAAAGCAAUUCGGCGUCGAAGUUCAAUCGACGGUGUGACACGGAGCGAGGAUUACGUUAAUUGCGCGGCGAUCCAUUUCUGGUUUCAAUUUGUUCUUACCUUGAAAACAAUGGCGGAUGGAACGAGAAAAAUUUUGCGAGAUGCGGUGAACUCGAAAAGAGCUCAUCCUUCGCGUGGUCGAAACGGCAGGUGUUCCAGAAGAGGAUCAACACCAGUUGCGAGAAAGAUGUCCGAGUUCCCAGUGGAGGGUGGCGAAAAUGGGGACAUGCAUACCGUCAUUGAGAAUCUGCAGAAAAAGCGAGAUCUCAUCUCGGGAAGAACGGGACAUCAUACCCACGUCUCGACUCACUCUCAUCAUCCGCAAGUCACGACAUCCUCACAGAUGCUCACGAACCAGAGUCAGACGAGCACGUCGAGCAGAGUUGCUCAGCAGACCUCGCAGAGGAUCCUCACUUCCUCCUCGUCGAGGGAGAUGUCGAAUGCCAGCAACGUCAAAGUUAAGGACGGACUGAACGAGCUCAAACGCGGCAUCACAGAGAUGAAAAACAUGUCAUCGAACUUCUCUCAGCGACUUCGAAGCAGCAUGGAAAACCUCGUGGACAGAGACGGCAGUGGCACCGAUGAAAACCUCUCCGAGCCUCUGGUCACGUUUCCGGAUCCGGACACGCCGCCUCCAGUCACAGGCACGGUCACUUUGACAGGUGGCUCGCCCUCCCAGCAGCUAAACUCUCUCAACUCGUUGGGUAAUCUUCACAACAUGAACCAGCCCAUGGGCAUGUCCAACAUGCCCACCAUGACCAGCAUGUCCAUCAUUCCAGCCGGUCCGGAGACCAUGAAAUUCGAGCAAAAGAAGAUGACCAGCGCCUCAAAAACGAAGGUCGUGACCGACGGUUUCAGCGCGGAAAAAGCUACAGAAAAUAGCGCUGAGAUGAGGGCACUUCAAGCUGGUGACGUUUCUUACAAGGAGCAAAGCGCAGCUACAGUCGCCAGGGCGAGAGUCGAGCUUGAUGGCGUCUCGGCAGAAAAAAGCGUCGCCUCGGCGAGGGAACAACGAAGUCUUAAGGCUGGUGAUCUAUCGCAUCAAGAAAGCAACAACAUGUCCGCAUCGACGAUGAAAGUACAGAGCGAUUCGUAUAGUUCGGAAAAGAAAGCAAUGGCAGCUCAGCAGCAGAGACAGACGGUGACGUCGACGGGUAUAUAUAAUCACGAGAAGCACAUGGCGGCUAGUUCGCAAUCGAGCGUAACGAUAGCGUCGAAGGGGGUCAGCUCAAAGGCGUCGAUCACGUCGGCCACGUCGGCGGUUAACCAGCUGAUGAACAACGGCAUGAGGCCCGCCGAAGACGAGCUCCUUUCCUUGCCACUGGACGACCUUGACGUGCUCUCAUCAAAUUCGAAUCUUCAGGACGUUGAGCGGGCUAAAGCGAAGUACUCUGGCUUUUUGGACACUCUGGUACAGCGGCUGAAGGCCAGCGAUGGAAAGAACGCAAACGCGCCGCUGCUACUGAACAGAGUUAGCGAGAUCAUCCGGAAGGCAUGGGCAGUUCCUACCCACGGUCACGACCUCGGCUACACGCUGUGCAACACCCUGAGGAAUCGGGGGGGUCUCGACAUGCUCAUGUCAAAUUGCAUAGCCCAAGAUAUCGAGCUUCAGUUCUCAUCCGCGAGGCUGUUGGAACAAUGUUUAACGAACGAGAACAGAGCUCACGUCGUUGAGAAUGGACUCGAGAAGGUCGUCAACGUAGCAUGCGUAUGUACCAAGAACGCGAACUCGGUUAACCACUCCAGGGUAGGCACCGGGAUACUGGAACACCUCUUCAAGCACAGCGAGGGAACCUGCAGCGACGUAAUCAGGCUUGGCGGCCUCGACGCCGUGCUCUUCGAGUGCCGAAAGAACGACGUCGAGACACUCAGACACUGUGCCGGGGCCUUGGCGAACCUCUCGCUUUACGGCGGCGCCGAGAACCAGGAGGCCAUGAUCAAGAGGAAGGUACCGAUGUGGCUGUUCCCACUGGCCUUUCACACCGACGAUAACAUCAAGUACUACGCCUGUCUGGCCAUCGCGGUUCUCGUUGCGAACAAGGAGAUCGAGGCUGCGGUACUCAAGUCCGGAACCCUGGACCUCGUCGAGCCCUUCGUAACGUCGCACAAUCCCUACGAAUUUGCAAAGUCGAAUCUCGCCCACGCUCACGGGCAGAGCAAGAACUGGCUCGAACGACUCGUCCCGGUUCUGAGCUCGAAACGAGAGGAGGCCAGGAAUCUUGCUGCCUUCCAUUUCUGCAUGGAGGCUGGGAUCAAGAAACAGCAGGGUAACACCGAGAUAUUCCGCGAGAUCGGGGCCAUCGAACCUCUCAAGAAGGUCGCCAGCUGCCCUAACGCCGUUGCGUCGAAAUACGCCGUUCAGGCUCUGAGGCUCAUCGGUGAGGAGAUUCCCCAUAAGCUCAGCCAGCAGGUUCCCCUUUGGUCCACCGAAGACGUCAGGGAGUGGGUGAAACAGAUCGGAUUUGCCGAGUAUGCCCUGAACUUCGUCGAGAGCAGGGUCGACGGCGAUCUCCUCCUACAGCUUACGGAGUCGAAUCUGAUCGAGGACAUCGGAUUGACGAACGGCAUCAGGCGGAGGAGGUUCACCAGGGAGCUUCAAAAUUUGAAAAAAAUGGCCGACUACAGCAGCAGGGACACCGGGAACUUGAACAGUUUCCUUGAAUCCAUUGGACCAGAGUUUUCGAUUUAUACAUACGCGAUGCUUAAUGCCGGCGUCGACAAGGACUCGAUCGGUAAUUUGUCCGAGGAUCAGCUUCAGAACGAGUGCGGUAUCGCUAACAGCAUUCACAGGCUCAUGAUACUCGAAGCGAUCAAAAACAAGCCACAUAAUCUUGGAAUAUUCAAUUCGUCCGGUGACGAGUCGCCAGACAAAUCUCUCGAUGUUUUUGUCAGCUAUAGAAGAUCCAACGGGUCGCAACUCGCCAGUCUACUCAAGGUCCAUCUGCAACUCAGGGGAUUCUCCGUAUUUAUCGACGUCGAGAGAUUGGAGGCUGGGAAAUUUGACAAUAACCUUCUUCAAAGUAUCAGACAGGCGAAACACUUCCUACUUGUUCUCACACCCAACGCUUUGGAGCGAUGUAUACAGGAUACCGAAUGCAAAGACUGGGUACACAGGGAAAUCGUUGCAGCCCUAGGAUCACAUUGCAACAUCAUUCCCAUAAUAGAUAAUUUUCAAUGGCCAGAGCCAGAAGACCUUCCGGAAGAUAUGAGGGCAGUAUGUCACUUCAAUGGUGUCCGUUGGAUACACGAUUACCAAGAUGCUUGCGUAGACAAGCUAGAAAGGUUUAUGCGCGGUGAAAUUCCUAUGAGGUCGGACCUCUCUAGUGGCAUACCAAGAAGUUUGGCAUCCAAAGAUGUUACUCAGCCAAGCACACCGGCUAGCACAAAUAUACGACAACCCAGUUAUCAGCGAAUGCACAGCAAUGAAAGUCGCGGAAGUGACAAAGACUCGAUAAAUGGUAGAGAUUGACUAGAUGGCCCCCCCACAGCUAUACCCAACAGCCCAGGAAUAGACUUUGCAUCAAGACUAACAUGAUUAGGCUUCGGAAAUCGUCAAGUCCAUCUCGCUGGCUGAUGGGUCUUCCACCGACAUCUCCACGUCUAAAAUUUGUUCAUACACGUCCGGGAGGAAGUUCGAUACCUCGUCGACCCCCGAGACAUCCUCCCCCUCCAUCGACAAGAUCUCGAUCACUGGAACUGCUUGAUCAAGAGGAAAAGCAGAGAAUUCUCCCUGUCCCAGCAGCCCCAGAACCAGUUCCAAGACCAAGAUCAAGGAGUCUGGAUGGUCUGCUAGAUGAGGAUGGUUUGGGAUCAGUGUUGAAGGGUGAAGAAUCCUUUGCCGAGGCUGCAAGAACGGAAGAAAACCAGGAGAAGUGUAGGCCCAGAUCAAGAAGUUUGGACGGAUUUUCAGAUACAGCUGAAUCGGUAGAAACCGUUGACAGAAUUUCCCAAAAUAGCGCCGAAUCUUCUUUGGACGGUGAAGAAAACAGAGUUGUAGAAUCUGUAGUUGUUAGCAACAAUAAAAAAAUAGAUUCUGACAUCUGUGGAGAAGCAACGAUUGGCUGUGUAUCUGGACCUUCGAUACAUAAUAAUCCCAUGCCUGUGCCGAGAUUGAGGGUGAAACCGCAAGCUGAGGAAUCGCUGUUGCAGGACAAUUUGUCUCCGGAUGAAGCCAGCGAUGAAAAAAGCUUCCUGUUGAAAACUCAAAUACCAACAAUCAGAUCCAGGAGCAUGGAUGACCUGUUAGAAUCGACGACAGCUGAACCUGCAUCUGAGACAAAGGAGACGCUUGCCGAACCUGUAAGCUCAGAGUCGUCGACAGGUAAAGAAAGACUGUUGAUGAGCGGUACUGAAAAAUCUAACUUGUCAAAGGCGAAGAGCUGUGGUGCGGGGUUGGACUCUGCUGAAAGUUUUUCAUCAAACGAUUACAAACCCCCGAACAAAGUCCAAGGCUCACUAUCCUCACUGCCUACCGGUGUUGAGCCUAAAAGGAAACGUAACUUUAUGGACAAAUGUGUCAAUAAGGUACGGUCCUUUAUACGAAAGUAAGGAGAAUGCUUAUAAAUUCUUAUUUUAUAACGCGUUGAUACUGACUUGUUAUUUAAUUAUUACUAUUACUAUUAUGCUUAAUUAUAUUAAUAUCACUACUGUUAUUACCGUUUAAACUACAUUUUGCGAUUUUGAACGUAAUUUAGUUAUGACAGUAAUUCGAGUUAGUAAUUCGAAUAGGAAAAGAAACAUAAAUGUAUAUUUAAUUCUCGAUACAUAGAAUGAAAAGUAUGAUUAGAAGUAUGUAAAUCACAGUGUGAUUUUGUUCCAGUAUAUUAUUAUAUUAUGACGAUGUGAUGAAUGGCAGUGUGAAAGGGAAUGAUAUGAUAUGGGUAUAUGUUAACAUGAUGAAUAUAGUGCCUGAGAUGAAAAUUGCGACAAAAAAAAAAGCAGAAACAAAACAAGUGUCUUCUUAGAUACCUAAUGGCAACUAUUAAUUUAUUUUUUGCCGAAUAUUUAUGAUAAGACUUUCGGCACUAUUUUACCGUGAACUAGGAUAACAUAGAUAAUGGUAACCUGUUUUUCAGAUAUUGAUUUUUUUUAUAUUUCCUCCAACUGAACCGUAUUAUAAUUACAUAUAUAAUGUUUUAGAUUUUAAUUAUCUGUUGUACAGUUCACAUUACUGUUCGUAAUACUUUUUAUUUCACAGGCAGUUAAGUAGACUAUUAUUAUUGAUGUUAUUAUUUUAUUAUUAUCACUAUCACUAUUAUUAUUAUUAUUAUUAUUAUUAUUAUUAUUAUUAUUAUUAUUAUUAUUAUUAUUAUUAUUAUUAUUAUUAUUAUGGACUAUUCUAUAAACGACGGUUGUUUUUACUGCAGCUAACCCGAUUAUGAAAUAUAUUUUAAUUUAGAUUGUAUCAUUUACAUUAUUUUGGUAUGUAACAAAAUUAAUUUGAAUUGUUAUUAUUAUUAUUAUUAUUAUAUGCAAGUGUAUAAAUUACAUGUUAUUUUCUAAAGAAAACCAGAAUGGUAUGGUUAUAGGCAUUGUAUUUUGUAAUGCUUCGAAACGAUGUUAUUCAUUGGAUUAGAAACAUAUAUAGUGUAUAUUUUACCAAAGUUUCACAGAGUGAAAUAAGAAUUUUAAUAAAAAUAUUUCAAUGUUUCUCGUAAAGAAAUUUUUAUUCGCAAAAAUACAAUUAUUGUUCAACAUCUUUCGAAUGAAGUCUCCUUCAAUUUGAAUCACGUACAACGUUUACAUGUGAUUGAUACCUACUACAAUAUUAUUGUUUUGACAAAUUUGUACGACAGCGUGUGUGUUGCACAGCUUGAAGUACGAUUUAUUAUAAUAUAUAAUAACAUAAAAAUAAAUAUUCCUUAAGACCGUUGUAUAAUAUAUCUCAAAGUUUCGAGACUUUGGAAUCUUAAAGGAAUAGUCAUACGCUUUAAAAUGAACUUUAUGUUUAGUUCAAUUUCGUUUUCAGUUAUGUCUAUUCAU